UGUAUUUGGUAGAUAGAAACUGAAAGAAGCCUGUCGUAUAUUUAUGAAAAACAAGAACGAAAAUACUACUUUCUUAAAAUUGAGUACAUUUUAAUUUUCCUUUUACAUGUUUCGGUUUUUGAAAAACCUUAUCAAAAAUAUAUACUAAAAUGGAAUAUG